GUUUACAGCUAUGGAAUACUGUUGAUGGAGACUUUUACAAGGAAAAAGCCUACAGAUGAAAUGUUUUCCGGGGAAAUGAACUUGAAGAAUUGGGUCAAGCAAUCUUUACCUGAUGCAGUCACUCAAGUUGCUGAUGUUCACUUGCUAAUUGGCAAUGAAGAACGUUCUGAAGCCAAUAAAGAAUGUAUAACAUCCAUUUUCAAGUUGGCUCUUGAAUGUUCUGCAGAUUCGCCAGAGGAGAGGGUAGGCAUGAAAGAUGUUCUUGCCAACCUUAAAAAGGUCCAAUUGAAGUUGAAAGAUACUGAACAGCGUCAUGGCCUUGUUUGAUCAUUUUAAAAAUCAUACUAGCUUCCCUGUGCGUGCUUCUGGGGAUUGAAUUUCAACGGGAAUCAAUUUCCUUAUCAUCUAGCCAUUAGUUUUCAGAUGCGCCAGAACAUUAACGAGAAGCUCCACUCAAGCUACCCUAACACCUUUUCAUCUUCUCCUGUGAGGGCAUCAUCCUCUGGGAUAGAUCCAUCUGGCCAUCGG
rnacentral:misc_RNA from 1 species